GAGGACUGCAGUGGAUGAGGCGUAGGGCACAGAAUGUCCUCUGUAUGAUCAACUGUUUAUCCUGCCACCCAUCAGCCAGUGACCUUGUGGAGGACUCUGUUUGCAUUCAAGCAGCACAACCACCAAAACCCUCAGUGGUGACCUUCAUCACCAUCAGCAACUCCACCCUCAACGACUGCAGCUUUACAAACCAAGACGGUCCACAGGCGGCACCAGACCUUCUGCAGAUGCAGCCUGAGCUGCUGAUCAACGGGGAAUGUCGGUGCAUCCACAUCACAGACUCAAUAUUACACAACGCCAUGUUUGGGGAUCACAACGUCAUGAUGUUGGGUUUGCACCAAGAGCAAAACUAAACUUAAGUCACAAGUGCAUUUCUUUUUCAUCACAAUUUAUUUAAGCCAGAGGAAAAUAUAUAUAUAUA